GAUAAGAUUCGAUGUCUCUGUGCUCACUGUGCUAGUCACUGGAUCAAUAGCUAGCACACACGGUACAAGAUGAAAUAUCAAGAUAAAACCACAUGUCAUAAUAUUACAUCAUAGAUUCAGAAUUAAAAUAUUACAUACCUGCAUAGCUCAAUCUAGCAUACAACAAAAUAUAGCGGAAAAGAAAAUAAAAUAUCCAUGAAGUCCAUCAACACCAUAGACAAAUGUCGAGUAUAGACACCGUAACCCUACAUCGUAUCACUUACUGUCGAAUAAAAUCUGCAACAUGAAACAUUGCAGCCACGAAGGGUCAAUACUUUGAAUGUAUUGGCAAGUCACACAGGAAUUAUAUAACAGACCUACAUGUAUAUGCAAGGUAUAUCAAGAGGAUAUUGUAGUGGUUGUUUUGCAGAAAGCUAGUUUUUCCCUGAUAACUACAUAAUAUAAUAGUCAAAUUUUAAUUAUUUCUUGCUACAAUUAAAUACAUAUGGUUGAAUGGGCAAUCUAAUUCCAACCGCCCAUUAUUAAGUAUCCCAUCAAGUUUUAUUAUCUGUAUCAUCUGUCGAGAUCAUCCAACAACUGUAAUGGCAUAGUGGCUAAAAUUUGUCCAUAACCGGGGACACGGCUAAUCAUAAUUAGUUUUAAUACUCUUUAGAGUUUAGUACGCUUUACCCACUGGAUCCAAUCCAAAGAUUGAGACGAAGUCUUUCAGAAGAGGUUCCCUUAACCACCCGACGACCACAUCCCACCUACAUAUGCUACAUCUGUCAACACUGUCUAGGCAAGGGUUCCAACAACUGAUCAACUAACCCAAAGCCCAUAUAGCCAGUGGCCGCACAUGGAAGCUACUAGUCACCAAGUCUGUCUGAUCUUUUUGAACCUGGGCGGCAUUCCACUUAGGGUGCACUCUCAUGGGUGCAAGGCCUUAGAAAAGGUGAAAGACCCCAUGAUGCCUUCCCUCAACACCAAGCAAUACCACUUCCGCCCAGAGGUGAAUUGUAUUUUAAGUUAAUACACAAAUUAUUAUAUAUAAUCCUCACAUAAACUCAAUGUAUACAUGAACCAAUCCCCGUCUACAUAGCAUAGCAAGAAUACACUACCACGAUCUACAAUAAGGCCAUACUAGCUGCAUCUCAAUAGCAAAAGCAUACUACCAUAAUAUUCCUACACAUGCAUAAUGUGGUCUUGUGAUAUAGAACUACAUGCAUAAAAAAUGAUAAAGGAUGAUCAAGGUGUAACUGCCUGUAAGUUUGAUGAAGAUCGUCGCACUCAUAAUUCCUGACAGUUCUACUGGUCACGCUCCGAGCAAGCUAUCGCACAAGAAAGAAUCCAAAUAAACAACCAUGCCAUACAUACGAACCAAAGAACAGCAAAACAAAUAUGGCAAGGUUGAACAACAUCAAUAUAGCUGGGCUUAAUAUUAUAAUAUGGGUCUCGGUGGUGCUAUACAGUGAAAGGUGGAAGGAUCAACUCACAAGAGUUAAAUAGAAGAAUAGUUAUGCCAUAAACAAGAGUAUAGUGGAGAUAUAACAGAAUAGGUUCAGAAGUGAUUGGAGAACAACAUAAAUGUUGUAUGACAUAUUGAAUAUGACAUAAGAAUUCAUUUGUAAAAGAAUUGAUGGACUAGGGGAACACUACAAUGCUAAUUAUAGUGGAACGAAGUUAGAAUUGAAUUUGAAUUCAAAACAGUUCAAGAAUUAUUUGAAUAAUGAGUAUACAAGAAUUAUUCUCCGUCCGGAAAUACUUGUCAUUGAAAUGAAUGUAUUUAGAUGUAUUUUAGUUCUAGAUACAUUCAUUUUCAUCAAUUUUGAUGACAAGUAUUUCCGGACGGAGGGAGUAUUUGAUACAAAUGUUCAUAGGAAAAAGGAAUCAACUGGAUAUGGUAUACAAUUUUCAAGAUAUGUUCAACACAUGAUUUGAAAACAAAUUUGAAUUGAUCAAUUUGAAGAGUUUAGAAGUUGAAACUAUUGAUUCCAUUGGAUAGGUAAGAUCAAUAUGAACACAUAGGAAAAGUUUCAUUGAGUUUGGAUAUACAGAUUUCAAGAUAUAGCAGAACGAAGUUCGGUUUGAAAUAUUUGAAAAACUCUGUCGUGGCAGCGUUUUUGACAUGCUAAAAUUGCUGCCAUGGCAGCGAAUUGAGCUGCUGCCGCGGCUACUUUAGAUGUGGCCACGUGUCACGCUAGGGUUGGCCGAAGUGGAUUUGCGCGCGUGUGCUCACCGGAAGCAGGGGAAAACGGCGGCAGCUACGGGCGUAGGCCUCCGGUGGCUCUCCGGCGAAGAUGAGGUGGUGUGGAGGUGGUCCUGGCGGUCAUCGGGAACGUCGGGUUGAGGCAGGGCGAAACGGGGCGUCCUCUGUUGGCGAUGUAGUGAAGUUGGGGCUCCGGCGAGAUCGUUGGCUGAGGAGCUCGAACCAGAGGGUCUGCGAAGGGGAAGAAGUUCAGGGAGGGGAGGCGCAUCAAGAUGAAUCCUCUAACGAACAAAGGGGGUCAGGGGGUGGCUUACUGUCGCCGGAUUUGGCUGGAACAGGGAGCUCAGGCGGCGGAGCUUUCCGAGAUCCGUGCGGUUGACUUCGAGGGCGAACACCAGCGGCAAUUACGGGAAUCGGACGAGGGGAUCGAGGGGAUUCUCUCGGCGCCACAGAUUCGAUCGAGGGGGUUAGGGAUCGGGUGAAUCGCCCUUGCCUGGUUCGGUCGCGGUAGUGCGGGGAUACGAGUUCGACUGGAGGAAG
rnacentral:lncRNA from 1 species